GAUGAACGCUGGCGGCGUGCCUAAUACAUGCAAGUCGAGCGAACAGACGAGGAGCUUGCUCCUCUGACGUUAGCGGCGGACGGGUGAGUAACACGUGGAUAACCUACCUAUAAGACUGGGAUAACUUCGGGAAAUCGGAGCUAAUACCGGAUAAUAUAUUGAACCGCAUGGUUCAAUAGUGAAAGACGGUUUUGCUGUCACUUAUAGAUGGAUCCGCGCCGCAUUAGCUAGUUGGUAAGGUAACGGCUUACCAAGGCAAAGAUGCGUAGCCGACCUGAGAGGGUGAUCGGCCACACUGGAACUGAGACACGGUCCAGACUCCUACGGGAGGCAGCAGUAGGGAAUCUUCCGCAAUGGGCGAAAGCCUGACGGGGCAACGCCGCGUGAGUGAUGAAGGUCUUCGGAUCGUAAAACUCUGUUAUUAGGGAAGAACAAAUGUGUAAGUAACUAUGCACGUCUUGACGGUACCUAAUCAGAAAGCCACGGCUAACUACGUG
rnacentral:rRNA from 1 species